rnacentral:rRNA from 1 species
AAUAUUGGACAAUGGGGGCAACCCUGAUCCAGCAAUGCCGCGUGAGUGAUGAAGGCCUUAGGGUUGUAAAGCUCUUUUGGCGGGGACGAUGAUGACGGUACCCGCAGAAUAAGCCCCGGCUAACUUCGUGCCAGCAGCCGCGGUAAUACGGAGGGUGCGAGCGUUGUCCGGAAUCACUGGGCGUAAAGGGCGCGUAGGCGGCCUGAUAAGUAGGGGGUGAAAUCCUGCGGCUUAACCGCAGGGCUGCCUUCUAAACUGUCGGGCUAGAGCACGGUAGAGGCAGAUGGAAUUCCCGGUGUAGCGGUGGAAUGCGUAGAGAUCGGGAAGAACAUCAGUGGCGAAGGCGGUCUGCUGGGCCGUUGCUGACGCUGAGGCGCGACAGCGUGGGGAGCAAAC